rnacentral:lncRNA from 1 species
GCUCUGCCUCCGACCUACGGAGGGAUCACGCGGCAGUGGAGGGCAGAUAAAAAGCCCUUUGGACGAGGGUCGCCUCCGUCCUUGUUGUUCACUUGGGAGCAGUGGAGAGGAAAACGGUCCCCACGGGCGGACUUUGGCUUCUGGAGCCGCGGGGCUCAUCCGUCCAGGCCUCCCGGAGCCUCUGCUGGGUAUAGGGGGAGGGGCAGCGGGGGAGGGGACUGGGAGAAGGGAUCUGGGGACGGGGGGCUGGAAGCGCUAAGGAGACCUGCUGGGAGGAUUUGCGUCAGCAGGUCCAAGAGAGACUUGGGAGCGCUGAGUGCAGGAGGUGGAUCUCGGCCUAGUUUGCUUGCAGAAAUAGAACUGUAUUUCGAGGAAAUCAAUCAAUCUGCAGGAAACAAAAAUGGAAGUCGAGGUUUGGGAAGAGUUGUCACUUCCCCGACUCGAGUGGUGCGGGCCGGGGGCGGAGACUUGGGGCCGCGGAGAGGCCCUUUCUCCCACCUCAGCUCGUUCCCAGGACUUCCAGAAGGGAGAAGUACCCUCCUCACCCCUCUUCUUCCCCACACCCGUCCUCGCUCGCCCGCCGGCCCCUUUCCGCACCUCCUUCUCCCCUCAAGUGAGAAAAGCCUAGUUCCCGAGCCGGUGUACGCGGUUGCCUUACCCCUCCCCGCUCCCACGCGGGUGCCCCCUCCAGCCAUCGCUACUGCCACCACCUCGGUUCCACUCAAUCGAUUUUUGCUGCAUGUCAACACUUAUUCCCGAAAAUGGCCCGCUGAUGAUGUGACCCAGUGUACCAGGACUAAGGCUUGGGGUGGUUUCCUUAGAAUUCCAAGACUCCUUCUACCAAUGCCUCCUCUGACCAGAAGCAGCAAAGUCUUUCUGCCUCCAUCAACAGUUUGCAGCGGCACCGGACCCCCUGCACGCAGUCCUGGGCUGGAUCCUUUAUCCUUGUCCCUCUGGGGAGAUGAGACCAAGAGCCGCUUCCACUGUCCCAGAGAAGACAGUGGAGCAGAUACGGAAUGUGACUUGGAACCCCGGUUAGUGGCAAGCCGGUUCUUGGGCUCUUUCCUCCGUUCUACUACUGUCAACAGCCCCCUCAACUCUGCUUCCCUAGGCGGGUAUCUGGGUGAAGUUCCUGCACAUCGUUCUCGGUCCUCCCGGAUGAACUGUCAGGGCCUUCCCUAAUGUCACUUUACGAGGCCGCCUGCGCUGGGUUGAAGGAGAGUCUCCCCUGACUGACUCGUCCCGCUGCGUGCAGGCGCAGGAGGGGGGAGAGCAGAUGGGGACGACCCUGCAGGCCGUCCUGAGCGCCACAGACGGGGAUUUACCUGCCGAGUCCAAGGCGACAGACAACAGGUCACUUUGUUAGAGAAUAAGAUAAUAUCAAACAAAAGAAAGUAAAAUAAAACCCUUCUUAUGAGGGCGCUGGGCCUCGGGCGAUGUUCAUUCCCAGGGUUCUACAGACCUCAAUGCCUCCACCCCCGCCUAAAAUCCGCGAAAUCGCAGGAGCCAGUCUUAUCUGCCGAGGCAGGGCCUUGUUUGUCAUUUCUCUGACAGGGGGGGAAAAAUCCCUCCUGCAAAUUCUGGGCGCGCAGCUUCCCUCCCCAGCUGGUGACCCUCCUUCCCCCGUGCAGCUCCGCCGGCCUCUCAGCUGCCCUUCGUCAGGAGAUAGCAGCCUGGACAGCGAACCGGGACCUUCUGGACCCCCGGGUUUAGCCGGGCCACGCGACCCAGCCCUUAGAAGGACCUGAGGUGCCGUGGCUCCGCCUGACGUGCCCCCAAGGGCGGCCUCGCCUUGGGUCUCCCUGGCCGCCCGCACGGCACAGGCACGACCGUGUCCUACGCUGUCUACUGACCACAACAGCUGCUUUAUCUUAAUGUUCCUUCUUGGCCGGCGACGUGGGAGAAGCGCGGUGGCAAGACGUGCCGCCUCGCAUUACCCUGACGGUAUUUUCAGAGGCACCCGGAGAAGCGGCGGCCCAGGGGGCAACCUACGCACCUCCGGGGACUCCUCUCGGGUCCCGACGCUGGUGUUUGCACGUCCCUCCGGACAACAACACUGAAAUCUAAUCCGCAGCUGCCGCCGAGCGCCCACCUCCCGCCUUCCCCGGCGCCCCCAGCCCGCGCGGCCCGAGACCUGCAUCCGAGCCCGG